GGCCGGCGACCCAGACGUCGGGCCUGAGUGUGCAGGUCUUGGGGCUGAAAGCGGGGGCGCUUUGGAAGCCGUUCUCGAGGUGGAGGGAAAGGAUUCUUCUCUACCGUUUGGAGACCCAGUGCUGUCCCGGCCGGUGGGAGCGGCAGCACUGACGGGGUCUGACGGCAGGUAGGGGCUCCGGGCUCGGUAUUUCCCCCGCGCUUCGCCCACGUGGGGCCGAGCCUCGGAAUCUGCAGCCAGGUGGCCGCGUGACUCUGAGCAGGGCUCCCUCCCAGCCUUCGUCUUCUCCCCCGAAAGCAAUCAUACCUGGCCUUCCCACCUCACAGGGCCCUUAGCGUGGGUCGUAUCCCACAAAGGUGGUGCGAAUGCAGGUGUCUGCCCACAGGUCCGAAGGUCAGUUAGCGAGGCUCAGGCCAGCCCCGCUGGGGGUAGUAACUGGGGAAGAGCUGCUUCAGGCUGGCAGUUUGCCCCUGGGAGAAUUCCAGCAUGACAUCUGCAGCCCUGUGGUUCCCGAAAAGACCGCUCUCACACGGAAGAAGAAGACGUUCGUGGGACUGAGUCCCACCCAAGUGUAGAGAAACUAAAAAUGAAAUUAAAAAAAAAAAAAAAAUCAGACUUUUUUUUUUUUUCCCCACUAGUCUUCAGCAUUGGUUUUUGGAACCUAUUUCUGGCUUCCUCUUCUGGGCUUUCCUAUAAAAUUGUCAGGCGAUAGGAUGUUACCUUGUAUUCUACUAAAGCGGCAUUGUAGAAAGCCUUGUUAAAGUAUUUGCCAUCAUUCCUUUAUUAUUACUCCUUAGUUGCCUCCAAGACAGACUGGAGAGGUGUUCGGGAGAAAGUAGAUAGAGUCUCCCACUUUUUUCUAUGGAAGUCAGCCUUGCAUUUGCAUUUAGUGUAUACUAAAUACUGUAUAUUUCCAUACAGCCCGGGAAACCGUAGCAUACACUCAUUUUAAAAGAAAUAAAACCUCGCAAAAGUUUUGUUUUCUCCCUUUGCCUGAACUGAAAUAGCACAUCCAGUUCUUGUUCUUUUUUCCUAGAAGCUGAACGCUGCACUUGGUGGUUUCUUUUUGUGGUCUCUUCCAGCUCUAUACCCCACAAAGUUUGUAUUUGCAAAACGAGACCAUGUGGGCCUCCUUUUUGUAGUCUCCCGCCUGAGUCACUUUCCCUAACAGAUCUUUAGCCCAGCCUGGGAUGUGAUUCUUUGUACCGGAGUUGAAGGUACCUAGGAGAAAACGUUACACUUGCUUUCCGAGACUCAGGGAAUCGUUGCUGUGUCUACAGAGUGAUUGGCUCCACUCGGAGUCCCUGACUCUCCUGAAACAUAAAGGGACUUAAGUGUGUCAAGGUCAGCAAUUUGGCAAGAAAAGUAUGUUUCACGUUAGACGGUGACACAGAAAAAAUGCCUUAAAGGUUGAUACAUUAGAUACUUAUUUUGCAAAUUCACCCAAAUUAUCAGACAGGGAAGAGAGGAAUUUGUUGAGUUUCUGCGUAGGUUUUUGAGUAAAUAUAGAAUUAUAUCCUUCAAGGUUUGAAAAAUGCUAAAAAUUUUUUUACUACUUCCAAGAAAAAGAGGAAGCAGACUGGCUAUAGUAAAUAAUAUCUCUGUGAUAUCGCAGUCAAUCAGACUGUGGCCAGACGAUUUCUAGAUCUCUGAUGCUUGGCACUGUUAAAAGUACAUUCCUAAAAUUUCACUGUUGAUAUCUAUUGCACAGAAACCAAGUGAUUGUUAAAAAUUAUUCCCUACCCUUACACAUUUUUUUUUAACCCUCUUCGGUAAACCUGAGCUUAGCAGUUACCAAAGUUCCCUCCGGUUUGGUAUAUCUUGGAGACUCUGAGAAGUUGGAAAAAUUCUUAAACUAUAAUGAUAAUCAGGCUGGCUGGACCACUCCCUUUAUGGUUAAGUCGUAGAGUAUCAGAAGGCUGGCGGGGACCUCACAAACAUUCUUUUAGGGAUGAGGGUCCUACAGACAGCCUCACCAUGCAGCUCUGGUCUUCUGACCUCAGGAACUUUUCUUUCCACAACCAUACUUUCCUCUAUUCCAGUGCAUGGAAAUAAGACUGGCUUAUAAACCGUGACUUACUUGAUUAAUUUAUUCAUCCAUAGGCACUCAACAAUGCUCUCCAAGUAGGCAUAGAAAAUGCUUGCAGUUUGGGGAACUCACUGUUCUCUGGCAGAAAUAUCCUGAUGGUUAUUCCUUGAAGCGUGCAUACAUGGAGACUUGUGGAGCAGCUGCAUAGCUUUUGCAUAACCAGUGAUGCACUGUGGUUGAUGAGGAGUGUGAGGAUGAGGGCCAUGUUGCAGCCCUUCCUCUGUGCCCCCCCCCCCCCCGAGAACUUCACUGACUUGAUUUCAUGGAGUACUUCACUUGAUUUCAACUCUGUGUUUGUUGUCUUUCUUCCCCACUAGAGCUCCUUGGGGGUAGUCAGGACUGGAUUUUUCUUCUUCACAUCUCUCAACCCUUUGUGCAAUUACCAGCACAGGGUAGGCUUUUAUACAUUUGAAUCAAUGAAAACUUUUUUUGGAACCAUGCAUGCGGCCAAAUAUAUUCGCUGGCAUUCAAGAGAUGAGAUUUGCCAUUGAAGUUUUUCUGUCUAAUGGCUGGGCGGUGAGUGUUCCAUAAAGCUCAGAUUGGUAAGAAAAUACGAAUCCAUCAUGGGUUGCAAGGUGUCCCUUGACAGUAAGCUCUGGCUGUCUCACUAGUGACUAAUGAUUCUUGCUACAGCAAGAAAAUCUAAUCUGGAGGAGAGGUAGCCGAAGAGCAGAAAACAAAUGUGGAAGUUUGGAAAUGGUUAGCAGUUUUCUAACAGCCUGGAUUCUGGGGUGAUUCAGAAGAUUUUCAGUCAUACGAUGAGGCUGUUCUUGCAUGGAAAGGCUUCACGACUUUUCAGAAGAAACUGCACAAAAUGUAUACCUCUCCAGGAAGGAGAGGUAAGCUUUAUGAUCGCAGGUGAGAUUGAGAGUAAUUUAUGUAAAACUAUUAUAUUCAUAUAGAAUGGUAAAAAGAGCAAUGGAUCCUUUUUGCCCCAGAUUCAGGAAAAGGGCUAAGUCUGAGAAAAGGCCAGAGGGACUUAGGAGUGGGAGGGAACACAGAGUUCUGGAAAAAGAAAAUAUGACUUAGCAGAACUUAAAACAACAUCUGGGAGGGUAUAGUUAGUCAUGGAAAAAUUGGCAGUCAUGAUUGUGCAUUUUAUGAAAAUAAUUAUGUACUAGUUCAAAAGUUAGCGUUUAGACUGAAAUUAAAUAGUCGAAAGCCUGUACGAUGAACUCUAUUAUCCUCACCAUGCAAAAAUACUUCUAUUAGCUGUCUAAAAUCAUUUACAGGAAGCUUUACCAAGUACGUUAUCGCACAGCACCAAUAUUUUCAAAGCCUAAUUUUAGAGAAAUAACUUCCAGUUCAAACCUUACACAGGAUUAGUAUGUUCAGCACAAAAGUAUCUUUAUAAACCCAAGGCUUAUCAAACAGCCUGUCAACCUCCAUUUCAUGAGCAGUAAAUGUUAUUUUUAUUCUGUACGUACAAUGUUGAUAAACUAGAUACAUCCUAAACACAAGUCGUGGAUAUUGUUUUAGCAACAAAAAGUCAUUUAAAAUGAAAACCUUUAACGUAUAUUCUCAUUAAUAUAGCACAUAUACUUUUAAAGUUUGUACACGGUAUCAUUUUAUGUAAGCAUCCCCUAAUUCCCAAUUUCUAUAGCUCCUUAUGCUUGACAUAUGCACUAACUCGAUGAACAGAAAUCCGUUCAUUCAAUAAAUACUUGACUAUCUUCCUGAUGCUGAGUUCUCCCUAGACCUUGGAUAUACAGAAUAAAACAAGGAGUCUCUUUCCUAUUAAAUAUGUGAGCACUCCUACUUACUGUCCUGGUUUUAAUUGUUUGAAUGACUUCCUGUCAGCAUUUUGGAUUGGAUAUAAAACAAUCUUAAUGUUAUUUAUUAAUAAAUUUUCUUCCAUGCCAAAAAAAUUUAUAAGGUUAGGCCUGUCAUGGUCAAUCCAUCGGACAGGUAUCUUCAACUCAGAAAAUUAUCUGUAGCCUUAAAAUCCAUGUACUUUAUCAGUUUGAAAGUAUGGAUGAACUUUCAAAAUUUUGCACGUGGGAAAAAAGUCAAUAUCCCAUAAACAGGCAAAAGAUAGCUAAGUAUGGGAUUCCUCAGAUGAAGAGUUAAAAAAAAAAUUGGUGACAUAACUAGUUUAAAAGUACUCGCAUCAGAGGCCUUGUUCUUUUUUAGAUCAUUUAUUUGUUGACAUUUUAUAAAAUAGCAUAGUUUACAGAUGCUGUAACGUAUUAGCUCGCAAUCCAUCCAGUCACUUGCCGCCUUUAAUGGAUGAUACUCCAUCCUGUUACAGCAAUGCCUCUUUCACACAGAGCUUGCGAGCUGGAAAGUAAUUGCUGAAUAAGCAAAGUUUUCUGCACAUUGGAAGCAUGGUUCUAGCAUUCGGCUAGUUGUACUUGCCAACCUAAACCACUACCCUCUGUUACUAUAUUGCAGCAACUCGAAGUUCUACGUUUAUUUAUUUUUUUGGGGGACAGAGAGAGACAGAGCAUGAACGGGGGAGGGGCAGAGAGAGAGGGAGACACAGAAUCGCAAACAGGCUCCAGGCUCCGAGCCAUCAGCCCAGAGCCUGACGCGGGGCUCGAACUCACGGACCGCGAGAUCGUGACCUGGCUGAAGUUGGACGCUCAACCGACUGUGCCACCCAGGCGCCCCGCAACUCGAAGUUCUAAAUCAGCUACACACCAACCACAAAAUGACUCCUCUCCCCUGUCAUAAGGACCAUAACAGGACAUAGACUAUAGAGGGAGCUUGUGGUACCAUGACAGGACUGGGUUUUCAGGAUUUGGUAAACUUUAUAGACAGCUGUUAAAUUGACCAAAUCAAAAGGAUGGGCCUUAAACCUGGCCCUUAUUUUUAAAAAUAGGUUUUGUCUUACAUCUCCUAUCCUUUAUGGAUUUGUCAACCCAGAUCUUCCCGUAUACAGGCUAAUAAAUAUGUACUGAAGGAUUACUGUGUGUAAGGCAAGGUACUAGGAACAUUAUGAGUCUUUUUUUUUCUUUUUCUUAAUGUUUAUUUAUUUUAGAGAGUGACAGGGCGGGAGCAGGGGAGGGGCAGAGAGAGAGAGAGAGAGAGAGACCCAGAAUCCAAAGCAGGUUCUAGGGUCUGAGCUGUCAUCACAGAGCCAGACCUGGGGCUUGAACUCACAAACCGGGAGAUCAUGACCUGAGCUGAAGUCGGAUGCUUAACCGACUGGGCCACCCAGGCGCCCAUGAGUACUUUUUCUAAAAUAUCUUGCAAGCUAGUCAGAGAGCUGAAGCAAAUGUGUAAGCUUCCACAGGAGAAGGCGGGGGGUAAGUGAAAUGCGACACGUCGCCAUGUCUCUCACUGGUAGAUUGAGAGCUCUGUGCCAGCAGAGUCUGCUUUAUCUUUACUGGCAUCCCUAGUGCCUGGCGUAGUGCCUGGCAUGUAGUGUGUCCUCCACACCCAUAAAGCUUUGUUUAAAGGUAUAGGAGAUAUUUGGGACUUCGAGGAGACAGUUCACUGUUGUUGUUGUCUUUUUUUAAGUUUCUUUAUUUAUUUUGAGACAGAGAGAAAGGGUGAGGGAGGGACAUGGAGAGGGAGAGAGAGAAUCCCAAGCAGUCUCUGUGCUGUUUGCGUACAGAGGGCUUGAACUCGCAAACCAUGAGAUCGUGAAAUGAGCCAAGAUCAAAAGUCAAACGUUUAACCUACUGAGCCCACAGGUGCCCUGAGAGAAUUCACUUUUCACUGGGAUGAUGAGAGAAGGUUCCCUGGAGGAAAGCAUUAUCUGAGCUGGAUCCCAGGGGAAUGGGUAAGGGGUGGAUGGGUAAGGGGGGAAAGGGUGAGCCAAGGGCUGAGGCCUUUGUGAGCAGAGUGGGGGCCACACACACUGGGUUUGGAGAUCCUGCAGGUGACAAGUGUUGCCAAAAGCUAGAACAUUGGGUCAUGGGCAGCUCUGUGGGCUCCACUAAGAAGUCUGGACUUGGUUCAGCAGACGGUACCUUAAGAGGCUUACUCUUCUGGUCGUGGAAUGUCAGAAGAAUUGAGUCAAGGGGCAUAGCGGGAAUCUAACCCCCUAACCCAAAUGGUGGCUGAGAAAUGGAAAGGAAGGACAGCUGUAGGAAACUGUAUGAAGGAAGAAGCUGCGGGACUCAGUGACUGAUUGUGGGUGGGGGCAGGAAGGAGAGAGAAGAGUAAGGUCUUGGGGCAGAGAAAAAUGGCGGCACAGGUCAAGAUGGAGCCUGGAAUGGAAGGUUGGCAGCUCAGAAGCUCUGAAUUUACACAUGUUGAAGGGAAGGGGCAGUGGACAUCUAGGAAGAGCGCCCAGCACAAAGAGUUGGGAGCGGGGCACUAAGGCUUGCGAAGAGAUUGAGGGUAGAGCUAGAAAUUGGGAGACAUUUGCCUAGAGGUUUGGUCAAAGAUGUAAAAGUGGACAAGGUCCCCAAAGGAGGGUCUUUAGUGACAGUAAAUCCCUUAGCAAGCACUAACAACCUGCUCAGCCUGGCUCAAAUCAAAGGGGCAUUUAUAAGUUUGUGAGUCUGGGAAGCUCAUUGCCCAGUGGAAGGGUUACAGAACCAGGGCCUCUGAGAUUGGGUUUCUCUCUUGCUCUUGCCUGCUCUUUCUCCCACUGAAGCUGGUCUCCAUUUGUGUCUGCACAUGGACUCUACGUGGUAGGGCCUGGUUACUGCCAACAGUGUAGAGCAACAUUCUCUCAGCUCUAUAUCACACCAGGGUCCAGCCAUCAUUCUUGGGAAGGACUUUGUCCCUAUUUGGGGCAUUUGUUCACUCCUUGGCCAGUCACCAUUGCCAGAGGAAUACUAGGCCUGGCCAUGUGUCCACUCCUGGGGUCAGGGAGUGGGUUCCCUCUACUAGAAAGAACAGGUCAAUAAAGUUAGCCAUCAGACAGAAACAAUCGCUACCAGUGGGUCUAGAACUGAGGCUGGGACAUGACUGGAGGAGGAAGAUGACCUAGGGAAGAAAGUAGAAGAGAGUCCGGAGAGAUGGGGGAGGACAGAUGGGACCCCAACACUGAAGGAGAGGAGUUUUAAUAAGAAAGAAGGGGCCAGCGCACCUGGGUGGCUCAGUUGGUUAAGCAUCUGACUCUUGAUUUUGGCUCAAGUCAUGAUCUCACAGUUUGUGAGUUUGAGCCCCCGUCCAGCACUGUGAUGACAAUGCAGAGCCUGCUUGGGAUUCUCUCACUCUCCGUCUCUCUCUGCCCCUCUCUCAAAUAAAUGCUCUCUCUCUCUCUCUCUCUCUCUCUCUCUCAAAAUAAAUAAACUUAUAAAAAAAUUUUUAAUUAAAAAAGGAAGGGACCAUGGCAGCUAACAGUGAGCAGAAAACCAGUUAUGUAUGUAAUUUUAAUGGGUACUAAAAAACAACCCCAACUCCUAAAAUUAACUUGGCUACCCAUCUUGUCAAGUUUCUUAUUUCUUUGGGUUAAAACUAGAAAGAUCUACACGGCUGAAUAGGGGAGAGACACAUUAGGUUUUCUUAGUCAUUCAGAUCAAUUCAAUAAACUUUUAUUAACCCCUUUCCCCUAUGUGCUAGGCGUGAUGUCAGGUGCUGGGGACACAAAAAGAAAGAUGUAUUCUUGCUCUGAAGAUUCUGAGACGAAGGACAACCUGAAAUUUACAAUAAAGCACAGGAAGUGCUAUGUUCCUCAAUCCCAUGAAUGUUUGUGGAGCAGCUACUAUGGACUUGACUAGUGCUGGGUACUUGGGGGAGGUCCUGUCUUCUGCCUGGUCAGUGGCCAGAAUCCCGAUCUCACCCUCCUACCACAGUCAAUGCCCCGUACUGAAGUUAGUUGUGAGGUCAUUCUCUUCUGCUCUGGUCUAAGCAUCAUGCAGGCAGGAACAUGUCUGCCUUGUUCCUGCACUGAAGGCCAGUAGUUUAGAUGCUAGUAUCACAUAUUUGCCAAAUGAGAGAAUAAUAAACUAUACAUAGCCCUGACAUGAUGUCAUUUUCGAGAAUCCAGGAAACAUGCAAAAUGACUUUGUUCUCUACAUUUUCUUUCUUCUUAGCUGAUAUCAUGCCGCCAGUGGAAAAGCGAAUGGUCAUUUGGAAGCAUUCAGCAGCCCUCAGUAGCUGUCCAUUUCUAUUAUUUGUGGCGAGUAAAAAUCACCAGAAAAUACUAUUCUAGCAUUCUCUAGGUAUUAGCUUAUUUAAUCCUCACAACAACCCUGUGAGAUGUAGGUAGAAUUUUAUACACAUGAGUUAACCCAAAGCCCAGAGAGGUUAAGUAACUCACUCAGGGUUACCCAGCUGGGAGGUGGCGAGAGCUGGGAUUUGACCGUAGGCAGUUAGCUCCGAGGUGCACCUCGGCACCCACUAUACCAGGCCACCUCUCCACAGGGCAGCGUUAAGGUGCGCACCUUCCCUGCUGCACAUCCCUUUUCCUUUUUCCCAGUGUUUCCUGCCCUUGUGAAGCUGGCCCUCUCUGAGGUUCCUGGCUUUGAAAUACGGGGAAUUUCCAAUAGAAAACCAUGGCUAAACCAGGCCUUAGUUGAGAAUAAAGGGCUCCUUCUUUUGCUUUGUUUCCACCUCAUUUAGUCCUUAAUAUUUUUUGACAUCCAGAUUUUUUUUCUCUCCGGAGUGGGGAAAAAAAAGGAGACCCUAGCCUGAAGAUGUCUUUUCCCCCGCUGACAACAUGAAACAAAAGCUCUUCCCUGUUUCUGUUUUUCAUUAAGAAAUAGGGGUCAUGAUGAUAAUUAACAAACCAGAGUUUAGGUUAGGAAGGCCCUUCUGACGUACUUCUUGCUUAUGCCAUAAUUGAGCUGAUGAGCUAGUUGAAUCUAGAAUCACCUCCACCUAUCGAUCCACCUUCCACAUGCCUUUUCUAACAUGUGAAUUCUCGCCCUAUUUGAUACACAUGUCCAGGCUUGAGAUGGAACUUGUCGUAGAAUCACUUAUAUUUCCACUGGUCUGUGUGUAUGCUGAUUUCUCCUUAUUCGAGAGCCCAGAGGGGAUGCUCAGGCAGGUAAGCUCCCUCCCUCGGGAUGCAGAAGCCAUCUCCACCUCCGUGGCCCCUCACUUGCCCACACCUUCUGCCUCCUGCUAACCCCUGAGCUUGCCUCUGGAAACAAGUCAAGUGGCCCCAGUGCCGGGGUGACAGAGGCCUUUCUUAGCUGAACAGCUACGAUCUUUGUGCCUUUCCUAUGUGGUCAUUUCCACGUCACCUUUAAAGCAUCUUAGAAAAAUGUCGAUGGUAUCUGAGAUGGUAUCUUCUCCCCCCUCCCACUGGAAACAUUUUUAUCAUUUGGCAGUCAGGUUCCAAUAAUCAUUAAGGGCAUCCACGAGGCAACACCCCCUGGGGGCAGCAGGAGCUGAGUGAGACAGCGUGUGCGAUGUUAGGGGGCUACGGGGAAAGAUAGGGAGAAAUCUGUGUUUGUAAUAGGGAGGAGUUUGGGUCUGACUCUAUGACAUGAACCACAGGUUCCCACCAGCUGCCUCCGAAUACUCCAAGAGGUACUUCGGGGUAUGUGAACACUUAGUCCCCAUACCCGAGGAAGUCACUUUGCGUCUUUUUAUGUGGGGCAGAAAGGUUGUGUUGUAACUGGGGAUAUUACUCUCAUGCUAUCAGGCAGUACUCACAGACUCUGAUUCCCGGUGGCUGUUUAGCCCAGUGGGGCAAGGAUGGUUACCGCACUCACGCCGUGAUGGGUACCAAGAACAUCAGGUGUGUGAGAGAUGCCAUUCCCGUGGGUCUUUCACAGAGAGUUCCACCCACCCUGAGUUACCCAAGAGAGCUGCUCCCUACAGCGCAGCCUCAGCUCUCGCUGCCACGCUAUUUCCUGAUAGUAUCUGGUGCCUCUCCAGAUAGCCUCCACUUCUCUCUGCCUCUGCUUUGAUCUCUAACCUCGGUAAGCUGGAUCUGACAUCGGCUCCAUAAAAAUCUGGUCCUGGACCUCUGACCAGGAAUUUUGUGUCGCUAAAGAAGUGUGCAUGCAGGCUCCUUGCUUCCUUCUGUGCCUGUGACCUGUUGGGCAGGGCACUAAUUCUUUAAGUCAGCAUUUCAAAGAGAAGAUUAAGAACAAGUUAAGCCUUUAGUUCAAAAAGUUCAGUUAAUCCUAGAGCAAAGCACACUGGGUUUUGAGGCCAUGUGAAAUAGCCAAGCCUUAAAGUCAACAGUGGUCAUGGAAAAGUCACACACAGUCCUUCCACUAAGAGGGAGAAAUUUAUAUGGUGAGUGUGUGUGCGCACGCGCAUGUAUGUGCACAAGCUGUUUGAUUUCUCAGGGUUUUCCUUUUCCUAUCUGUAAAAUGGGCACAAUGAAUCAGUGGCCCAGAUGUCCUAUCCUCUGUUUUGCUAUCUUAGAGACGGAUGUGUGGAUCAGAGCUUUUCUUCCUGGCUGCUACAUGCUUGUUGUAUCAAAUAGUUACUAUUUCCAAUUUUUUAAAAAAGUUUUAAAUUGACAUUUGUCUUCUUCUAAGGAUUAUACAGUUUAUGGUUUCUGUGAACAUACCUCCUAAACUGACUUGGUUCAAAGCAUCCAGUGGUUCCAGACAUAAACUGGUUAUGCGAGCUGGAGACCAAACUGGAAUUCACUCAGAUAUUAGGGGCCAUUUACUUGUGGGUCUGCUUAUUUUAUCUCGGCAUUGGCACAUGCAGUGUUAUGGUUAUCACAGUUUCAGCAAUACCCAUGAUUUACUGAGGUCCAGACAUGCAGUGGCGCACAAUGGGUGCACAGCUCUCGGGGCAGAUAAACCUAACCAGGUACACCGGUGGGACACAUCACUCAGAGGGGGGAGGCUUGCUGGCAGCUGAUUGCAUGACAAGGUCUGCACCUGUUCCUUAGUGCCCAUCUCUUUCCAAGGUCAGUGGGAGGUGCUGUUCCGGGAGGAAGAGAACUUGAGAGGGAACGGCUCAGAAGGUGAAGCACAGAGCAUUUUCUGCGACUCUCCUACGUGCCUGUAAGACUUUUCUGCGAAAACUCACUGGGUUCUCCCUUCACCUAAAAGCUCCUGAAACCUCCAUUCUUCAAAGUGUUCUUCAUCAAGAAGGGAUGUUCACAGAAACCAUAAUCCUUAGAAGAAGGUAAGUGCCAAUUUAAAACGUUUUUUCACAAUUGGAAAAGGUAAAAGCAUGUAGUAGCCAUCGAGAAAUGCUCUGGUCCACACGUCCGUCUCUAAGAUAGCAAAACAGAGAAUAGGACAUCUGGACCACUGAUUCAUUGUGCCCAUUUUACAGAUAGGAAAAGGAAAACCCUGAGAAAUCAAACAGCUUGUGUGCGUGCACGGGCAUGCACACGCACACACACACACACACACACACACACCAUAUAAAUUUCUCUCUCUUAGUGGAAGGAGUGUGUGCAACUUUUCCAUGACCGCUUUUGAUUUUAAGACUUGGUUAUUUCACCUGGCCUCAAAACCCUGGACAAGCUGGUGGUCUCUCCCCAAUACCCACCUCUGAACACUCCCCUCUUUGCGAAGCACCAUCUAAAUGAGUAGGUUUUCAUAUGCCCGAACACUUCAUAAAUAAGUAAUUGUUUGGCUCGUAUUGAUGAACUUUUGCAUCUAGAUCAUCAAGAUUUAGUCACAAUAACCAUGUACUGGGAUGAUCUAAUUUACGUCUGAUGAAAAUCCUGGAGAGCAGGUGCUGUGAUUUCCCCCGUGAGAAAACUGAAGCGUAGCAAGGCUAAAGUAACCUGGUCAAGAUCACACACUGGACGAGGCCGAGCUCACUCUCAAACCAGGUUGUACAGCUCCAGAGCGUGUACAGUUGAGCACGACCCAGCCUGCUAGCACCUCAUCCUGGGCACUCACUCUGCGCCCGCUCAGGGCCGGGUGCUGCGGGGAACCAGGGAGAGCAAGAUGUUCCCCCUGCCCUCACGGGGGCCCAGGGAGGUGAAGGCAGCAGUGUGUGCUAUAACAUGGGAGAUGCCGUGCUAAGUCCGUGACCCUGGAAGGACAAAAAGUGCUGCAGCGGCCUGAGAAAGGAGUCCUGAGUUCUCCCCGGGGAACUGUUUUAUCCUUUCAGUCUCACCUGGCUAACUUGAAUUUUUUGUGUAUUAAAAGGAUGACUCAGACUUUGUAAACUGGGAGAAAGUACCUAUACAACAAAACAAAACAAAAUAGAAAAAAAAAAAAAGACUUUAUGGCUUUAAAUAAAACCCCUUGUUUGCCUCCCCUGGUGAGUGGCAGGUAGUCUGGGACGCCCUUCUGUUUAUUCUGUUUGCCUUUUUCUUGUAUUGUCUGUUCUGCCCAACGGUGAAAUUCAGCUUCCUUCAGCAGCUAACUUCAUUGCCUUGCAAGGCAUUAACCUUGAUAGAAAAUUUUCUAAUUAACGCCGAGGAGGAAGCGCAGGCUCUGAAGCCUUUCCUGCCCUCCCAUACCUGUUCAACGACUCCGGCAGCUUUCUUUGGCAAGCCAGAGAAGCAAACAAACGGAAAAUCCAACCCGUCUUCAAGUUUAUCCCAAAACAGUUGUUGGAUUAAUGUAUGAGGUGGACUUGACUGCUCCAGCCAGUGACGGUAGUGACACUGUUUUGAGCUUAUAGACAAAGCCUAAACCUUCAGUGAUGUCUCCAGGUGUUGAAAGUAACAAAACCCCUUAGGGAAGUGUCAUGAUUAAAAUACCACUUGGGAAUGGGCCUGAGCGGACUUCUUUUUCCUUGACAAAUUCACUGAGAAUGAGGCAGCAGGAAGCCAUGGGUGGGGAGGGGGUGAGCAGAUCUACCCUGGGUCAGAACAGAGGAGAGGUGCUUCCUGGGCAAUCGGGCUGAGCUCCAGGCUGCAAGUCUGGGUGAGGGUGAAGGGUAAGGAAGUCCCCCCACCCCAAGCAGGCUUCCAGCAGCCCUUAUUCUUUUUGGAAAACAUAAACAGAUUGAGGGCUCUGUACAAAUUGCUACAUGAUACCCAACAUCCUGUGUCUGAGUAAACGGACAUGGCUAGCUCAGGCCUUGAUUGUGCUUCAAAAUUUAACCUCUCAGGGUGCCUGGGUAGCUCAGUCAGUUAAGCGUCCAGCGUCCAACUUCAGCUCAGGUCAUGAUCUCACAGCUCCCGCGUUUGAGCCCGGAGUCAGUUUCUGUGCUGCCCAUUCAGAGUCUGGAGCCUGCUUUGGCUUCUGUGUCUCGCUCUCUCUCUCUCUCUGCCCCUCUCCUGCUUGUGCUCUGUCUCUCAAAAAUAAGUAAACAUUAAAAAAAAUUAAAAUAAAAUUUAACUUCUCAAGGCAAACAGAUAUGUGGGGAAGCAGAGAUUCUGUACCAAGGAUGUUCGGGUUUGGGCAUGACUUAUUCUCUCUUAGGAAACAGAAACGUAUCUUCACUUUUAAGAUAACAACAGUACUGUCCCAGGACAGCAUAAUACCAGGAGAAACAAAUAUCUUAAAUAACAAAUAGAGUCUUCAUUUCCCCUUAUCGGUCCAGAGGAACACAUUAAAAAAAAAAAAAAAAGAUUUGCAAUGUAAGAAGUCUUGUCCAGACAUAUUUUCCCCCUAAAUAUUAAUAAAUCAAAAAGUAAAUUAUGGUACUAGACUAUUUAAAUUAGGUAUAUUUUUGCAAGGCAUUAAUAUAAAAGGAAGAAAUUAGAGUCAGAUAUACUGGGCUCUACUCCCUUCCUUCUUCCAGAAGGAAAGAAGGACUGUGAGGCCUCCCCAGCCCCACGGGACCAUUCGAACUUCCUCAGGCCUCAGCAGAGCAGUGCAGGGUCCCGUCUUGUGUCAGACAGACACAGCUUUUCCACAGCUUUCCUCAGCUGCUUUCCUGCCUGAACUUCUUUCUUUUUUUUACUCAUUUAAAAAAAAAUUAAGACUUUGUUUUUUUUUAAGAGCAGUUUUAGGUUGACAGCAAAAUUGAGCAGAAAGCACAGAGAUUUCCCAUAGGCCCCGGCCCCCCCCCCCCCACAUGCACAGCCUCCCCCAUUGCGAACAUCCCCACCAGAGUGGUACGUUUCUUACAACAGGUGAACCCACACUGACACAUCGUUGUCACCCAAAGUCCGCAGUGCACGUUAUGGUCCACUCAUGCUGGUGUGAAUUCUACAGGUUUGGAUAACUGUGUAAUGGCCUGAAUCCAUUAUUAUGGUGUUAUACAGAGUAUUUCACUGCCUUCAAAACCCUCUGUGUUCUAUUUACAAAAAUAGGGAAUGUUUCAUGCAUUCGUGUGUCAUUCUUGCAGGGGGGCCAAGCUAAUCUUCUCUGUAUGGUUAUAGCUUUAGGACAUGGGUGGCCGAAGAGGGCACUGAACUUCUUAUGAGGCAAAACCAAAAAGACUCUCCCUUGUUGAAAAUCAGCCCUCAGUGACUGGAGGGCUGCACAGUCGGCUCAGGUCAGCUUUGUGUUGCCCUGACCGGUAUUGCCACCCCUUUGCCCUGGUGGGGAAACCAAUCUCCAUCGUCUACGUGAAUCUGUGGAGGACUCAGGUCCCUGGCAGCAAUUUCUGGGUUUGGAAUUGCAUGGAUUCGCCAGUCUUCCUAUGCUGAGGGCAGGUUCAUUGCUUUUCUAAUAAAAUGUUCAUAGCUCUGGUUCCAGGCAGAGAAUUGGCACACAGUAAGUGUUUGUUGAGUUCAACUGAAUAAACUAGAAUUCAGGGGAGAAAUAUCAUUGUUCUUUAUAGUAAUAUCUCUAUUAAUGAAGCAGGUGUGUCCCUAGUGCAUGUGUAAUUGCCAUUAACGUGUCCGGCAGAGCCAGGAAUAACAGAGGAAGUGGGAGUUUCGGUUUCUCUGUGACCACAUCCUUCCAGGACAUUCCCCCUUCCCUCUCCUCCAGAUAGAGUGGAUGGUAUUGCUCUGGCUCAUGUGAAGGGUUGAGGGGUUUCUAUUCAUCUGCAGUGCUUAGAGUAGUGCCUGGCACACUGCAAGUGUUCAGUGAAUUUCUGUGGAAUCAAUGAAUAAACCAUGGUUCCGCACCCCAGCAAUGGGAGGGCCUUGGGAAGCUGUAGCCUGGGCAGUGCUUUUGCAGUUCUGGAAUUAGACCCAUGAGAGUCCAGACACACAGCCAUCCACCCUCUGCCAGAGCUGGGGCUGAUUCUAUCCUGUUUGGCUCCUUAGCUGCUGCUUUCAAUCUCCAUUCUUCUAGACGAGCUUUAUUAGAAUGAGUUGUAUCUACAGGAAGCGAGUUCUGUUUGCCUUCUGAAUCUUCUACUUUGCAAUCCAACCAUGCAUUAUGAUUCUUUAAUACUCCCUUGGAGUUCAUGCUUCCUGGAUUUCAGCCCAUUCUGAAAUAUUUGAUAAUAUAUUUGAUAAUAUAUUUGAUAAUAUAUUUGAUAAUAUAUUUGAUAAAAUAUAUAUGAUAUUUGUUGUCACGGAUGAGCAGGAAAAAGUCCUUUGUGCCACCUAAUCCUCUUUAAUCAGUGGCCUACAGCAAUACUUUCAAGCUCUCCUUUCCCCACCCCAUCCUACCCACCACCAUAUUUGCAGCCUAUUCACCACCCCAUUGUUGAUUUCUGAAUAGUGUAUUUCCCAUUAGAUUAGGGAUUGGUCCUUCUCUGUCCAGCCCUGUAUGGUAGGGGAGUACAUUUCCGAGGCUCCCUUUUAGCUUCUUAGCAUAGUCAUUGGGAAGAAGUGGUAGGAGACUGAUGGGCGACAGGAAGGGAGAAGCCAGGGUAUCUCUCUCCAUCUCUAGCCCCCACUUUGGUCAGCACGCCCCCUGUCAGCUGCACCUCCUCCGUGGACCCAGCAUGGCAGUUCUAUCCCUGGGAUCUGGUAACACUACCUAUUGUGCCUCCAUCCCUAGGGAUAGUGACAGAUGUUUGCUCGUGUUCUUCUUGAGAUUGCUUCCCUGUGUCCUCUUUGGUUUCUUAGCUCUUCCAUGAUCUCUGUAACCAAUUCCAUGUAUUAAAAAAAAUGUUUAUUUACUUUUGAGAACGAGAGAGAGAGAGAGGGAGAGAGAGGGAGAGAGAGAGAGAGGACCAUGUGGGUGGGGGAAGGGCAGAGAGAGGGGGAGACAGAGGAUCCAAAGUGGGCUCUGUGGUGACAGCAGAGAGUGUGACACGGGGCUCAAACUCAUGAACCGUGAGAUCCUGACCUGAGCCGAAGUUGGACGCUUAACGGACUGAGCCACCCAGGCACCCCAUGUAACCAAUUCCCUGUAUUAAAUCCAGCCUGGCUUGAGACACCUAGAGUGGUUUCUGGUUUUUGACUAGACUCUAGUAGAUACAGCAUGCAAAUACUACUGCUGACUUCAUGUGAACUCCUCACUUUUCUUCUGACUCCUCUGUGGACUGAAGCACUUACCUCACAAGGUGUUGUCAUAAUAAGUUGUUUGUGGAAGAUCUCUGAGAUCCUGGAGUGGCUGGUAAAUUAUAAGCAAGUGCAAUAUGUCAUUAAUUAGCUUUCAUCCAAAUACUCUGUGCAUGCUAAAGAAGGCUUAAUUUCUAUUCUUUUUGGAGGGACUAUUUGAAAAGUCCCUGGUUGAAGAGGCUGCAGCACUCCCUUGACAAUGCUUUGGCUUGCCUUCUAAGCCUGGAGGCAGUUGUGGUACCUGACUUGUCACUCACUCAGUGCUGGGUCACCUUGCACCUGUCCCAAAGCCAUUCAUCCUCUCAACUUUGGGUUCCAGUGGGCACCCAAACCUAUAUUUAGGGUAGCUGUCCCAAGGGACCCGGCAAAUGACUCAGGGCUGCAGGUUUGGGUGGAGCAUGGCAUUGAGGGCUGGAUACACCUGGAUUUGAAUCCCAGCUUUGCAUCUCCUGAGAUGUGUAAGUUUGGAAAAAUUACUUCACUUCUUUAAACCUCAAUUUUUGUUUAAUGUCAAAUGAAGAGAAGAAAGUUUCACAUCAGGCUUUACAUUAGAUGGUUGCCUCAAAGAAAAAGAUCUAUCUUAAGGCCCCAACCAGAGUUUACAAAUAUCAAGACUUGGCUACUGAGAGUUGGAUCUUCUCCUUUCCCAUCAACACAGUAUGUAAAGUAAUACAUGUUCUGUAUGGUCUGUGGAGAAUCCCAAACCCGCCCCUGUCCAAAUCCAGAUAGGCUUGGAAGUAACCUAGAACCUAAGACUUUUUAUUUUUAUUUUUUUAUAUUAAAAUGUUUAUUUACUUAUUUUUGAGAGACAGAGAGUGCAUGCAAGCAAGGGAGGGGCAGAGAGAAAGGGAGACAGAGAACCCCAAGCAGGCUCUGUCAGCACAGAGCCUGAUGUGGGGUUCGAACUCAUGAACUGUGAGAUCAUGACCUGAGCCAAAAUCAAGAGUCAGAGGCUUAACUUUAGACUGAGCCACCCAGGUGCCCCAAACCUAAGACUUUUUAAAGAAUACAAUAAUUAUGUUUCUGAUAAAACAUCAGCCUCCUUAAUUUAUUUCUUGUCUGUGCUUAUUCACCUUGCCUAUUUAUUAAACAUGUUUGAUUUCUUAUUCUUUGCAAGUAGGAUAUGAAAAGGGAGAGAUAAGGAAUGUUUAACUUUGUAUAGCUCUGAUUUCACACCUGGUAAAUACUGGAUGGUGUUGACAGGAAUCCAGGUCCUGAACGUCUGAUCGUGAGGGACUAGGCAAGAGUCUUUCAUUAUGAGAUGUAGUCUAAGCUCUGGCUUGACCAAACUCUAAGCUGGAGGGCAUCACAUCGGCAUUAUGCUUUUGUUUUGAGCUCCCUUGAAAGGAAUUGAUUUCUGCUGUUUGGGGGCAAUGGGCAAAAUAUGCCACUAACUUAAUUUUAUUUAAUAACUCUGUUAAAUGGUUUUAGCCAGUGCUUUCACUAUUUAAAAGGGAAAAUGUAAGCCAGUCAACCCACAUUAUGAUCUAAAAAGCAAACCCUGUUAGAUGAAUGGGAAUGUGGAGGAGGAGGAAUUCCACAUCUCAAACUAUCCUACCAAGUGCUGAUUUGCAUAGAUUUGAACCGCCUGGCUGGGAAAGAAACUGGGGCACAGCUUUGUCAAUGAGGUAUCAGAGAUCUAAAGACUGAGAUGUUCUCAGAUGAAGAAGCUCAGAACCUCAACUCUCGUCAAAGAGGGACUUUUGCCAUAGGAGGUGGUCAAGGGACUUUUGGGGCAGCUGAAAGAAGCCUUUCCCCUUCUUGCCCUUUGAGGAGUCAGGGGAAGGGUGGGCCAGGUGGUGUAAGGAAUUGCUGGUCUGUCACAAUACAUAUAGCUUAAAUAGCAGCAGAGUCAAAGUUCUUCUGACUCUGAAACAAUAAUUCAAAAAGCAGCAUGUCUCUGGGGACUGGUCCUAAAGAAGCCCCCAAUGAGAAUAUGAGGAAAGCCCAGGUAAAAUCGCCCUUAUGUAGGACAGAUGUGAUCAAUGUGCUUAGCUUCUCUUUUCAGCUUUCUUGCCCAGCCUGCAAGUUUGCAAAGGAGCCUUUGGAGAACAUGUGUGGUCAUAUGUUCACUCUCAUGGGCCUAAACCAGGCAGCACCCAAUUGAGCCUUUUUCAUUCUGCAAUCUUUCUAUUAAGUACUCUGGAUUCUUCUUACCUGAAUUUAAAUAACACUUAUCUCUUUCUAAAAUGCUACGUACAUAUUUUUAAUUUUGUUAAAUGAUUGUCCACCCUCCAGGACUAUAAUUUCCUUGAGAAUAGAUAUCUUUGUGUGUUUUAUUUGCCCACAUAUGUCCCCAGCACUUAGAACAGGGCUUGAAACAUAGCAGAUCUUCAAUAAAUAUUUGUUGAAUGCAUGAGUGAAUAAACCACAAUCCUGGUUUCAUAUUUUCAGUAUAUCAGAAGGCUAAUAAUAGACACUUACAUUUAAAAAACAUUCAAGAGUAAGUAAAAAUUCAGCUCAGUAUCUUUUCCCUCUCUAUACCUAUAGUCUACACAGCUGGUUGGACCUGUGUAGAUUCCAAGUUGGAUAUCUUAGCCAGAUUAGAACAGGAUUCUUUGUGGUCACUCUGGAGAUAGUACUGGAAGGCAGUGGAAUUUGGGGACACAGAGGGCUCUCAAUAGGAGGGAGACACUAGCUGGACUUAAUGAAUUUGCCACUUGAGUAAGUCGUAUAGACCGGGAAACACAAUUCAUUUAUGUGCUUCAUUAUGUAAAUGAACUCCAUGCUUAAAAAUUCAUAAGAGACUACUAUCUCUAAUCAUAAAUUCAAUUAACUUACCAGGGUGGAAAAACAGAAUUCAGGCAGACAAGAUAAUCAAGCCAAGCUUACUACAUUGGUCUCUCCCAUUGGAAAACUGAACAGGAAGGCAAUGAUCAGCUUAGUAAUGCUGGAUUCAGAGCCAGGUAUCUUAGUUCUAGAACUCAGAUGUUGGAGCCCACACUCUGAGGGCUGAUGUGUGUUUCUCCACAACUGGGCACUCUACACCCCCAUUGGCCUCCAUUCUACUUCCAGUCAAGACACCCUCUGGUCUCUUGGGAUGGUGUGUGGAUGGGCCAGCCAGAUUCUGAAACUUCCCCUUUUCUGUGCUUCUGUAGGUGAUUAACACAUUCCACGAAAUAUGUUCAUGCUUCAGUCAAGUCUUGGUCUGGCCUGGGAAUCAUUCCAUCUCACUACUUCUUAGAUUAAAUAUGCAUGCAGAUCAUAUUUUUUGAGUGUUUGCCCCAUGCUGACCAAUCCAAAUGGUUCUUCUGCAACCCACUGGAUGGUUUGACUCUUCAGAAGUUAUGCAUUUCUGUUGUUUCCAAAUGUUCGGGAUAUCCCUCUAUAUCCCCUAUUCACUGUCUUUGCCUAUCAAGUAAGCUCCAAAUACUGAUGGAUCUGCCCUCCUGAGCAGCCUCUCCCCCAGAGAGCAAAGCGAUGACUCUCUGAGCCAAACCUUCUGAUCCCUGAUGAUUAGUUUCUUCCUAUAAAUCAGUAAGUUGUCUUUUGAGUGUAUAUGACCACCUCCAGUGAAGUGAACUCCCCUCUAGUGAGUUCAGCUUGUUCCUCUAGAGCUUGAUCAUUCCUGGCACAUUGGAAAGUCACCACAGGAUUGAGAGAUAUGGCCUGAAGGAAGCUCACAUUAGUGGCUGUCUCUGCAUGGGUUCCCCACCCAUUCCCACACCACAGCCUCUCUUGCAUAAAUCCACCCACCUUUAGAGCCCCUAAGCCCCUAUGCAGCGGAUCCGCCCUGUAGUUUGGGGCCCAGCCCAUGACUUUUGGGAGGUGAAAAGCUGAAUUAGCAAGAUGACAGAUAGAAUGAUCCAGAAAAUCCUGUCCUUCUGGGAAGUCACUGGUCUCACACCAACUCUUGAGAAAUGUGUCCCUAUGAUCCCAGCCAAGAAACCUAUUAAGUUCAUGUUCUGAAACCUGUGAAGCUAAGGACCCCAACCCCGGGGGCCCCUCCAUGGGCAGCACCAGUGUGGGAGAGCCAUUUUUACCACCCUUAUGACAACGGGGCCACUGAGUAAUGUUUAGAACAAAGCUUUGAUGAUGCAGAAUAACUGACACUCUCUCCACAUUAAUGAAAGUAAAUUCAAUUACAUUAGUUAUACUUUGCAUGGUUUUGUUUAUUAAAACUAGGAAAUGGACAAUACACUUUGGAAAAAAACCAUUAAGCAAGGCUUGAAAUAACAAGAGAUUUCUUCAAAUAAUUCCGUUUAUAAUACCAGGGCUAUCCAAUAGAAAUAUAAUCCACACCACAAAUGUAAUUUAAAAUUUUCUAGUAGCGAUAUUAAAAAAGUAAAAACAAUUUCCCUACCUACUUUUGUCAUAUCCUAGUAAUAGAUAAACUAUGAAAAAGGUAAAAAGAAACAGGUGAAAUUAAUUUCAAGAGUAUGUUUUUCCAGUCCUGAGGAGAACGUGCCUCCUCCCGGUUGGGCAGAUAAACCUUCAUCCUAACAUAUGGAAUCAUGGACCCUAAGGCAAGACUUGUCUACAUUCGUCACCGACAGCGGGGGACAUUCAGGACUGAAUCUUGGCACAAAGAAUGAUUAACAGCUGUGGGGACCAGAGGUAGCAGGUGAAAAAGAGCCCGUAAUCAAAGCUUCUGACUUCAUUUGGAAAAUGUGGUCCUAACUUAAAAGUGAGAUUACUUUCCCUUUUCACUGCUUUGCCAAAUUAACUCCUUUGAGAAGAAAAGCCACGUUAUUCUUUUUUUUUAAUGUUUAUUUUUAAUGUGUAUUUUUGAGAGAGAGCACGUGAGGGCACGUGAGUAGGGGAGGGGCAGAGAGAGGGACAGAGGAUCCGAAACCCACUCCAAGCUGUCAGCAGAGCCCCCCGACGCGGGGCUCGCUCGAACUCACCAACCACAAGAUCGUGACCUGAGCCGAAGUCACUCAACCGACUGAGCCACCCAGGCGCCCCCCACGUUAUUCUUUUUAUUGCAACUUGUCCGUAGGCUGCUGUAGGAAUGACCGUACAUAGUAAGACAAACUGGAUCUCGAUAAUUGUGAGAGCAGCUUGCCUGCAGCUUGGCUGGCAUUCAUGGCCUUCCUUUUGAUACAAGAUCAAGCACUUACAAAGCACAUGUUGUGGGACCGACAGGGUGUACUGGGCCCUGUAAUGUAUAAAGAAAAAAACCAAGCCCUUGUCAUUUUGCCGAAGUUAGGCUUUUUUAGAAGACAAUACAAUAUCUAAUAUAAUGCUAAUUAUGUGUCAUGCACGCUACAUGUAAUAAAGGUUUUGAGGAGAGAAAAAAAUAUGUUUCACUCAACCAAUAUAUCCAAAACAUUAUCAUUUCAAUAUAUAAUCAUAUAAAAAUUAUUAAUGAGGUAUUUUAUAUUCUGGUUUUUGGGUGUUUUGUUUUUUCUAACAAAUCUUCAAAACUCAGUAUAAUUUAUACUUCUAGAACAUCUCCAUUUAGACCAGCUGUAUUGCAAGUUCUCAAUAGCCACAUGUGGCUGGUGGCUACUAUGCUGGACAGUAAUGAGACCCUUCCAUCCCACAAACUUUUUUUUUUAAUAAUGUUCAUUUAUUUUGAAGGAGAGAGAGAGAGCAUGAGCAGCAGAGGGGCAGAGAGAGAGGGAGACACAGAAUCCGAAACGGGCUCCAGGCUCCAUGCUGUCGCACAGAGCCCGAUGUGGGGCUUGAACCCAUGGACGGUGAGAUCAUGACCUGAGCCGAAGUCAGAUGCUCAACUGACUGAGCCACCCAGGCGCCCCCACAAACUUUCUGAUUAAUUGAGAUUCCGUGGUUUUGAACUCAAAGAAGGCAUUAUUAAUUUACCUUGACCUGGGCUUCUGGGCACAGAUGACAAAGCUCAUGUUAAUAAUGUGCUAACGAGCUACACCCUGGGGUUCUCCCUGGAGUAUUCCUGCUUCUGUUCUGUUUUGCAGACACAGCCAGAGUGAUCCCUAUAAAGUCUAAAUUAGAUACCAUCACUUCUCUGCUCAGAACCUUUCCACGACUUCCUAGCUCAGUCUUCUCAUGGCUUACAAGGCCCCACACAGUAGAGCCCCUGCCUACAUUUCUGUCUCAUUUCCUGCCAUUCCUGCCUGUCCCUCAUUUGCUCAGCCACACCAUUUGUUGCUGUUGCUUGACCUUGCCAGCACACUCUUGCCCCAGGGACUUUGCACUUGCUCCUCCCCUUCUGCCCAGAACACUAUCCCCCCACAACUUCCCAGGGUUUACCCUGCACUUUCUGCACAAAUGUCACUCAUCAGAGGAGCCUUCCCUGGCCAUUCUAUACACUUGCCCUUAAAGAGGGUUUCUCUUGAGGCCCCCUUCUUGUCAUCCUGCAUCCCCACCCGCUUACUACCUGCCUUAUUGCUUUUCAUGGCACUUGCUUAUUUACUAGUUAAUUUUCUGUCUUCCCCAGCCCCACCCUACUAAAAUGUGAGUUCUAUGAGGGCAGGGACUUUCUCUGUUUCUUUUGGAGGCACUGAAGCCCCAGCGGCAAUAGUAUCUGGCACAUAGUAGGUGCUUAACAAACACUGGUGAGUAAAGGAAAGAAUCCAACUUGGCAAGAAAUGCUUAUAGGAAUAGGAAUCACAGGCUUUCAUAACAAUAAUAGAUUUAUAUUUAAGAUCCUUAUUUGAGUUCAGUCUUAGAACUAAGCAAGAGUUCUCCUGGUGGUGAGUAACUCACCUGAACAGAAAGGCAACCGCCUCUCAUCCAGGUCCCCCCGUCCAGCUGGGGUCUCUCUCUCCGUGACCUCUUUAUUGCUCUUAUCACUUCUCAGCUGUUACAGGCCUGGAUUAGACACACUGUUUUUAUUUGAUGAACCAUAAACCGACAGUCACCUAACGGUCCUAGAUGUGCUGCUUUGCCAUGUUGCCUGCUUAUAGCACCUCAGAUUGCUUAAAACCAGAUCAAUAAUCUCAGUCAAAGAAUUCCUGUCCCAUGAGUAUCUGACUGCCCUUCUCUUCAUCAGUAUUUAGAUACAUUCCCAUCAGGAGUGGAGGGGGGGGGGGUGGGGGUGGGAAAGGCUCCAUAUUCGUUCUUUAGGUCUCUGGAAUUCACAAUUAUUUUCCUGUCUGGGUUGGGUGUGCACAGACGCAGCCAUCAGCGGCUCCUAGCUCCUUCGUGCCUUUCAGUCUCCUGCGUUUCCUUUGUUCUGCUUUGGGGCAGAUCGAGGGAGCUGCCUCAGAACCCACCAUUUAGUGGGAUUUAUAAAAAGCCCUCCUGCAUUAACUCUGUAAGGUUGUGUAGUAUCUACUCUAAUUAGUCUAUAUUCUCACAGGCUCCCCCCACCCCGGCCCCCAGGGCCUACGGCACAGAGCUGUGAAGUCACUGGUCAGGGGUGGAAUGAGACCAGUGGCCACGGGGUGGAUGACGUCACCAGGAUCCAACCUGAACGUCCCCCAAAUGCGCCAAAGACAUCAUGUUCUCACCGGGUGAACCGUGAGAACUGUAACCCAGCGGGCCUCUGAUGUGUUAGCUGUGACAUUGGACCAGUGUGAGCCCACAGAGGUCUGCACGCUUGGAACUACUCAGAGGGAUCGUUAGGAAACACAGCCGCAAAUGCUGCCACUCAACCCAGCUUCAGCGCGUGAUGAAGCGUGUGCUCCAGGGAGGUGCGGAAGAGAGCGUCUUC
rnacentral:lncRNA from 1 species